UAUGGAGGAUGCAAGCGUUAUCCGGAUUUAUUGGGCGUAAAGCGUCCGCAGGUGGUUUUCCAAGUCUGCUGUUAAAGCGCGAGGCUUAACCUCGUACAGGCAGUGGAAACUGGAUGACUAGAGUAUGGUAGGGGUAGCGGGAAUUCCCAGUGUAGCGGUGAAAUGCGUAGAUAUUGGGAAGAACACCAGCGGCGAAAGCGCGCUACUGGGCCAUUACUGACACUCAUGGACGAAAGCUAGGGGAGCGAAAGGG
rnacentral:rRNA from 1 species